rnacentral:rRNA from 1 species
AACGUAGGAGACAAACGUUAUCCGGAGUUACUGGGCGUAAAGGGCGUGUAGGUGGUAUCGUAAGUCUGGCGUGAAAUUUCUCGGCUUAACCGAGGAACUGCCUGUCAAACUGCAUGGCUUGAGACCGGGAGAGGUGAGUGGAAUUCCCAGUGUAGCGGUGAAAUGCGUAGAUAUUGGGAGGAACACCAGUGGCGAAGGCGGCUCACUGGACCGGUACUGACGCUGAUGCGCGAAAGCGUGGGGAGCAAACAGG